AUAUCUGCAUGACUGUCCUCCCAAGAGGAACGACAGCAUCAGUUGUUUUAUCAACUGCCCCAAAACGAGUGACAAAGCCUUCUAGCAGCCGUAAUAAUUCUGACAAGGGCAAAAGGGCUCGAUGGAGUUUUAAGCCCCCAACGUCGACUUCAAGGCAGCGCUGCAACCGUCGACUUCAAGGCACCUAACCCUAACCUUAACCCUAACCAUUGCCUAAUCCCGGCAAAAGGAGGAUGUCCAGUGACAAAGUUCCCUUAGUUAGGAGAUUGGGGCGGAUGGAUGGGACAAAAAAACUUUGGACUUUAACACAGAAGACAAAAGGACACACAACUUCCUGCAUUGGCACUGGAUGUAAAGCGUGCAGAAUCAUAAAUAAGGAAUAAGGAAGUAAUUCCUCGGAUACUGUGCUUGAUGAACACCAUGUGGUAUAGUCAGAAGCUCCGGAAAAAGACAGAGACGGCUGUGAGCCACUUCUCCUGACAAUACAGCUCAUAGUGGCAAUGUCGCAAUGCAGCAGCACCGAGGUGGACGAGCAGAAAGACAGCCACAGUGAACCAGGAUGGUCCGAAAAGUGAGUAUAUCUUCUCACAUCUGAUGUCUGGGGCUGCUGUUUCUGACCGGCCACCCUGUUCAGCACUCACUGUAACUGAAUCAUAUCUCGCCCUCUCCAUCUCCCUUUGUCGUCACAUUCAGCAGACUCAGGUCUGUCUAUCUGUGUGGCUUGUUAGCAGCUGCAUUUGGCCCAAGGAUAAAAUAUGUCUCAAUUUUUCUGGGAGGCAAAAUAAUUGAUUGGGAAGUGUGGCAUAAAAUGACAUACACUUUGGGGUGUAUGCUUGUUGGUAACUGGUGCUCACUGGAUUUUGGUGUUUAGAGAAGAAGACAAGCUACCUGGAGAAGAGCCAUUCACACCCCUCUUUAUGAAAUUGUUCUCAUGGGUAUGAUUAGGGGGGUUAUCAAGCAGAGAAGCAUCUAAUGUGUGGAGUCCACUUCCUGCCGCCAGUACUGUAAUAAAGUACCUUCUUG